GAGAACCUGCACACAGGUGCUGCAUGGCUGUCGUCAGCUCGUGUCGUGAGAUGUUGGGUUAAGUCCCGCAACGAGCCGCAACCCUUGCCAUUAGUUGCUACGAAAGGGCACUCUAAUGGGACUGCCGGUGACAAACCGGAGGAAGGUGGGGAUGACGUCAAGUCCUCAUGGCCCUUAUAGGUGGGGCUACACACGUCAUACAAUGGCCGGUACAGAGGGUAGCCAACCGCGAGGGGGAGCCAAUCCCACAAGCCGGUCGUAGUCCGGAUCGCAGUCUGCAACUCGACUGCGUGAAGUCGGAAUCGCUAGUAAUCGCGGAUCAGCAUGUCGCGGUGAAUACGUUCCCGGGUCUU
rnacentral:rRNA from 1 species